rnacentral:rRNA from 1 species
CGGAGAGUUUGAUCCUGGCUCAGAUUGAACGCUGGCGGCAUGCCUUACACAUGCAAGUCGAACGGCAGCACGGAGCUUGCUCUGGUGGCGAGUGGCGAACGGGUGAGUAAUAUAUCGGAACGUACCCUGGAGUGGGGGAUAACGUAGCGAAAGUUACGCUAAUACCGCAUACGAUCUACGGAUGAAAGUGGGGGAUCGCAAGACCUCAUGCUCGUGGAGCGGCCGAUAUCUGAUUAGCUAGUUGGUAGGGUAAAAGCCUACCAAGGCAUCGAUCAGUAGCUGGUCUGAGAGGACGACCAGCCACACUGGAACUGAGACACGGUCCAGACUCCUACGGGAGGCAGCAGUGGGGAAUUUUGGACAAUGGGCGAAAGCCUGAUCCAGCAAUGCCGCGUGAGUGAAGAAGGCCUUCGGGUUGUAAAGCUCUUUUGUCAGGGAAGAAACGGUGAGGGCUAAUAUCUCUUGCUAAUGACGGUACCUGAAGAAUAAGCACCGGCUAACUACGUGCCAGCAGCCGCGGUAAUACGUAGGGUGCAAGCGUUAAUCGGAAUUACUGGGCGUAAAGCGUGCGCAGGCGGUUUUGUAAGUCUGAUGUGAAAUCCCCGGGCUCAACCUGGGAAUUGCAUGGGAGAC